GGGAGCCGUAUGAGCCGAGAGGUUCACGUACGGUUCUGGGAGCGCGUGAGGGUGAAAUCCCCUCGCGCGACUCGCU
rfam:Rhodobacteraceae bacterium KLH11 scf_1108856220442 genomic scaffold, whole genome shotgun sequence.